rnacentral:misc_RNA from 1 species
AAAAGGCGAAACGUAAUGUGAAUCGCAGACUGUGAAUCAUUGAGUAUUUGAACGCACCUGGCGUCCUGUGUGCCCUCUCGGGGGCUGGGACAUGGUGGGUCGAGGUGGACGCAACGGCGAGUCAGGGACUCGGAGACGGCCGUGGUUGACGGCUGAGAUUGAGGCGCGCAGUGGGCACCAGACGGUGCACAACAGCAACCCCCACUCGACCCACCAAGACUACCCGCCGAACUUAA